UUUCGGUUCGGCCGACGAAACACAGGUGCUGCAUGGUGUCGUCAGCUCGUUCGUGAGAUGUGGGUUAAGUCCCGCAACGAGAGCAACCCUCACUUUUAGUUGCCAUCAUUUAGUUGGGCACUCUGAAAGAACUGCCAGUGAUAAGCUGGAGGAAGGUGGGGAUGACGUCAAGUCCUCAUGGACCUUACGUGUUGGGCUACACACGUGCUACAAUGGCAUUUACAAUAGGAAGCAAGAUGGCGACAUCAAGCAAAUCCUAAAAAGAUGCCUCAGUUCGGAUUGUACUCUGCAACUCGAGUACAUGAAGCUGGAAUUACUAGUAAUCGCGGAUCAGCGCGCCGCGGUGAAUACGUUCCCGGGUCUUGUACACACCGCCCGUCACACCAUGGGAGUUGGUUCUACACUAAGGCAAGGUUUUAA
rnacentral:rRNA from 1 species